rnacentral:tRNA from 1 species
GAGGAUAUAGUUCAAUGGUAGAGUAUAUAUGCUUAGCAUGCAUGAGGUCCUGCGUUCAAUUCCUAGUACCUCCA